UAUUUUUUCCACUUUCAAAUUAUUAGGCACUUCCGGUUUCGACCGGAAGGAAGGGUCAUGUGAUUUUGCACGCACAAGAUAAAUUAAAGAUCAGGUAUUAUCAUGUUGAUUCCCGCAAAAUUCAAGUUCUGGUCUCUGAUUUUAUAUUGAAUUUCAAAGAUUAAAUUUGUUAUUUUUUGAAGUGACGUCACGUGAGCCCAUGAUGGCGUCAUGAUGACUGUCACACUACCUCUUAAAGGUUUUCUACGGACAUUAUUUUAGGGGGAACUGAACACGCUAAGUACAUGGGGACACAGACAAAUAAAAACAAGGUCAACUCAAUCCUGGGUUCUCAAACUUAUUCACUUAAACUGUCUCUUAUUCAAGAUCAAAAUUUCCAAAUUCCAAAAUUUAUGAUGAAAUUACACUCAAAUGAUCAAACGGAAAUUUGGGCCCAGACAAGUUUUAAAAUCUCACGUAUUCGUCUCCAAAUUAACAAUUUCAAAGUUAUAAAAUGGACGUCACAAUUAGAAAGAGGAUUUUACAUGAGCUGCACUAAAAUUAUUUGAGAUUCUAAAAUUCAGUAAUCAAUGCAUUCAGAAAUCUAAUCAGUAAAAUAGCUCACGAUAUCUAGAUGAGUUGUACCCAUAUUUCAAUAUGGGGUUUUUCUCCCUUGACAAUAGGAGUGGGAAUGGCAAUUGUAGUUUUACGUAAUUAUGCAAAGUAGACACGCAUACUCGGGUCUAUGUGUUUUACAGAAAAGCAAUGAAGCAUAAAUCUCCUGGUUAUGUGACACACCCGUAUAUGCCACUUCAGGUUAGCUCACUGCCGAGUACACAACUGUUCUACUAAUAUAGUCCUUGCUUCCCACCCACCCACCCUUAAACAUGAGACACGUUUUGCUUGUUGUAUUUUAUUUGCCUUCACUCAGGCUUGCCAAAUGAUUUCUGCUACAUCUGCAAGGCACCAGGACAUUGGGCACGAGAAUGUCCUCUGCAUAGACGACAGCACAUCCCUUUCGGGAGUAGAGCAAGAGCAAAUCCACUCAGUUCCACAUACACCAACUACUACUCCAGCGUACCAUGGCAAAUCCCUCCCAUCCACCAGUCACUUCCACUCAUUUCACCCGCAGCACACACAGCAGUCAUCCCAGCAAAACCAAGCUCAGAUAGUUUUACGACAGUUUUUGGUCGGAAUUUCCUCAGCAAAUUCAAGGUUUCAAGAUGCGCACCUUUCGAGACAUGCUGACGGCCAAGGCAGACGGUACUAUCACCUCUUACCUUUACAAAUGUCGAGAAUUCUUCUCGUGGCUUAAAAAGCUGAAUCUUCCAGUGAAGUUGCCAGUCAGAGAGGAAUUCAUUGCCACUUUCAUUGCCGAUAAGGCAUCUGUCUCUACAUCAGACAGCACCAUCAUUACAUUGGCCUCAGCUUUUAAAUGGCUACAUUCACUAGUCAACUGCAAUCCAAGUCCUGUAGACACUUCAAUAGUGCAAAACGUUGUUGUUAGUCAGAAGCGUAACCUUCACAAACCACCUCAGCAAAAAGAUUUCUUUUGAGAUAGUUCAGUCCAUCGCACACUUCUUUGGUAACCCUAAUUGUAAUUUGAUGCAGCUUAGAACGGCAUGUUAUGUUGUCCUGAAAUUUACUCUCCUUUUUCGACAUGAUGAGAUGGCUCAAAUUAAGGCAAGUCACAUACAAAUGCUACCUAAUGACGCGGGUUUAAGUAUCUUCAUUCCUCGAUCUAAAACCGAUAUCUUUAGGGAAGGCAACAGGGCUUACAUUUCAGAUACGAAAGAAUUUUACACUCCUGUUCAAAUCCUAAAAAGAUACCUAGAGAUGUGUAAAAUUUAUAUUGGACAAAACGUUUACAUCUUCACUCCGCUAUCCUUUCAUUCAAAAUCGAACUCCUACACUCCAGUAGGGAAAAGACCUCUGAGUUACACACGAUGUAGAGAGAUAUUUUUAGACGCUUUGAAACAAAUUGGAAUAACAAAUCCCAACAGAUUCGGUCUUCACAGUAUGCGUUCGGGGGGUGCUUCACACUUAGCUAAUCAUGAUGUGUCUGAAGAGUAAAUACAACAACAUGGAAGGUGGAAAACUACAGAGGCUAAGAAUAGGUACAUACAUAGAAACAUCGAACAACGUCUCCAUGUCUCAAAGGUUCUACAGAAUAUGUAAGCGCUUCUAUCCACAUGUAAAUACUGCAUUAUCUAAUUCAAUUAAUUUAUUUAUUAUGAAGAUGUAUCAUGUAUUAUCAUUGUUCACGUAUAAUCAGUAAUUAAGAAACAAAACUGCCAGAUUUCAUAUCAGAACUCUAUGGAUGAAGGGCCAAGGAGGACAAAGAUAUGUGAAAGCUAAUAAUGUGUUACUUUGUAUUUAAAAUAUAUCUAAUUAGAAAUUAUUGUUAUAUGCAUGAACGUAUUCCUAUUAAUAAUCAAUGAUGGUUUUCGGACUGAGACCAAAGGGCCAAGAAGGCCUUGCUCCAUGAUUGAACAGGUACCGGAUAUAAUGCAAAGAACUGUGCAGUGAAUUUGUAUAUGUAAAAGAGAUCCGGACAGAGUCCGAAGGGCCGAGAGGGCCAUGUUCCAGGUGGAACGAGAGUAUAAUAUAAUUCAAGAAAUUGUUUUGCAGUUUGUACUAAUUUAAUGGAGAUCCGGACAGAGUCCGAAGGGCCGAGAGGGCCAUGUUCCAGGUGGAACGAGAGUAUAAUAUAAUUCAAGAAAUUGUUUUGCAGUUUGUGCUAAUUUAAUGGAGAUCCGGACAGAGUCCGAAGGGCCGAGAGGGCCAUGUUCCAAGGUGGAACGAGUGUAAAUUAUAAUUCAAGAAAUUAUUUUACAGUUUGUACUAAUAAAAAUGGAGAUCCGGACAGAGUCCGAAGGGCCGAGAGGGCCAUGUUACAAGGUGGAAUAAAUUCUGUCAAUUUAAUAAUUAACAAGUAAUUAACUAAUUAAAAUCUAAUUGCACAGUAAAAAAAAAAAAAUUUGUAAUCUUACAGACAAACACAAGUGUACUCGUCACUCUGAGACUAACCCCAAUCCCAUGCUAAUAAAUUAAAUAGAAAUGAAA